rnacentral:rRNA from 1 species
CCAUAGGGCUUAAAUACUCUAAAAACAUCAUAUCCUGUUUGAUCUUAAAAGUUAAGCAGGGUCAGCUCUGGUUAGUACUUGCAUAAGAGACCACCAAUGAAUAACAGGUGCUGUAGGUA